GAUGAACGCUGGCGGCGUGCCUAAUACAUGCAAGUCGAGCGAACAGACGAGGAGCUUGCUCCUCUGACGUUAGCGGCGGACGGGUGAGUAACACGUGGCUAACCUACCUAUAAGACUGGGAUAACUUCGGGAAACCGGAGCUAAUACCGGAUAAUAUUUUGAACCGCAUGGUUCAAUAGUGAAAGACGGCUUUGCUGUCACUUAUAGAUGGAUCCGCGCCGGAUUAGCUAGUUGGUAAGGUAACGGCUUACCAAGGCAACGAUGCGUAGCCGACCUGAGAGGGUGAUCGGCCACACUGGAACUGAGACACGGUCCAGACUCCUACGGGAGGCAGCAGUAGGGAAUCUUCCGCAAUGGGCGAAAGCCUGACGGAGCAACGCCGCGUGAGUGAUGAAGGUCUUCGGAUCGUAAAACUCUGUUAUUAGGGAAGAACAAAUGUGUAAGUAACUAUGCACGUCUUGACGGUACCUAAUCAGAAAGCCACGGCUAACUACGUG
rnacentral:rRNA from 1 species